rnacentral:tRNA from 1 species
AUCUUUUUAGUAUAAUAAAUAUAUUUGACUUCCAAUCAAAAGAUCUUUAAUAAAUCAAAAGAAAAGAUA